UACAGAGGUCCCAAGCGUUGUUCGGAUUCACUGGGCGUAAAGGGUGCGUAGGUGGUGAGGUAAGUCGGAUGUGAAAGCUCGGAGCUCAACUCCGAAAUGGCAUUGGAAACUACCUUGCUCGAGGGUUGGAGGGGGGACUGGAAUACUUGGUGUAGCAGUGAAAUGCGUAGAUAUCAGGAGGAACACCGGUGGCGAAGGCGGGUCUCUGGGCCGAUACUGACGCUGAGGAGCGAAAGCGUGGGGAGCAAACAGG
rnacentral:rRNA from 1 species